rnacentral:rRNA from 1 species
AUUGAACGCUAGCGGGAUGCCUUACACAUGCAAGUCGAACGGAGUGGCGAACGGGUGAGUAAUGUAUCGGAACGUGCCCAGUAGCGGGGGAUAACUACGCGAAAGCGUAGCUAAUACCGCAUACUAUUGGAGCGGCCUAUAUCGGAUUAGCUAGUUGGUGGGGUAACGGCCCACCAAGGCGACGAUCCGUAUCUGGUUUGAGAGGAGGACCAGCCACACUGGAACUGAGACACGGCCCAGACUCCUACGGGAGGCAGCAGUGGGGAAUAUUGGAACAUGGGCGAAAGCCUGAUCCAGCCAUACCGCGUGUGCGAAGAAGGACUUCGGGUUGUAAAGCACUUUUAGAAGGGAAGCGGUACCUACAGAAUAAGCACCGGCUAACUACGUGCCAGCAGACGCGGUAAUAC